CCUACGGGGGGCAGCAGUGGGGAAUAUUGCGCAAUGGGCGAAAGCCUGACGCAGCGACGCCGCGUGAGGGAUGAAGGUCUUCGGAUCGUAAACCUCUGUCAGCAGGGAAGAACGGUCACGGUGCUAAUCAGCAGUGAAUUGACGGUACCUACAAAGGAAGCACCGGCUAACUCCGUGCCAGCAGCCGCGGUAAUGCGGAGGGGUCGAGCGUUAAUCGGAAUUACUGGGCGUAAAGCGCGCGUAGGCGGUAUGUCAAGUAAACGGUGAAAGCCCCGCGCUCAACGGUGGAACUGCCUUGGAAACUGGCAAACUGGAGUGUGUAAGAGGAGAGUGGAAUUCCAGGUGUAGGAGUGAAAUCCGUAGAUAUCUGGAGGAACAUCAGUGGCGAAGGCGACUAUCUGGCACAUAACUGACGCUGAGGAGCGAAAGCGUGGGUAGCAAACAGGAUUAGAUACCCUGGUAGUC
rnacentral:rRNA from 1 species